rnacentral:misc_RNA from 1 species
GUAAGUAAAAGUCGUAACAAGGUUUCCGUAGGUGAACCUGCGGAAGGAUCAUUACUGUAUAACCGAGGUGCGAGGGCUGUCGCUGACCCGAAAGGUCGUGCACGCCCGAGUGCCCUCACACACAUCCAUCUCACCCCUAUGUGCACCACCGCGUGGGUCCCCCUUUGGCUUGUUCGGAGGGGGGCUUACGUUUUCACACAAACUUUGUAUGCAGUGUAGAAUGUAUUUUUUGUUUUUGCGAUCACGCAAUCAAUACAACUUUCAACAACGGAUCUCUUGGCUCUC